rnacentral:rRNA from 1 species
UACAGAGGUCUCAAGCGUUGUUCGGAUUCAUUGGGCGUAAAGGGUGUGUAGGCGGGUUUUUAAGUCAGGGGUGAAAUCCUGGAGCUCAACUCCAGAACUGCCUUUGAUACUGAAGAUCUUGAGUCCGGGAGAGGUGAGUGGAACUGCGAGUGUAGAGGUGAAAUUCGUAGAUAUUCGCAAGAACACCAGUGGCGAAGGCGGAACUCUGGGCCGGAACUGACGCUGAGGAGCGAAAGCGUGGGGAGCGAACAGG